GAUGAACGCUGGCGGCGUGCCUAAUACAUGCAAGUCGAGCGAACAGACGAGGAGCUUGCUCCUCUGACGUUAGCGGCGGACGGGUGAGGAACACGUGGAUAACCUACCUAUAAGACUGGGAUAACUUCGGGAAACCGGAGCUAAUACCGGAUAAUAUAUUGAACCGCAUGGUUCAAUAGUGAAAGACGGUUUUGCUGUCACUUAUAGAUGGAUCCGCGCCGGAUUAGCUAGUUGGUAAGGUAACGGCAUACCAAGGCAACGAUGCGUAGCCGACCUGAGAGGGUGAUCGGCCACACUGGAACUGAGACACGGUCCAGACUCCUACGGGAGGCAGCAGUAGCGAAUCUUCCGCAAUGGGCGAAAGCCUGACGGAGCAACGCCGCGGGAGUGAUGAAGGUCUUCGGAUCGUAAAACUCUGUUAUUAGGGAAGAACAAAUGUGUAAGUAACUAUGCACGUCUUGACGGUACCUAAUCAGAAAGCCACGGCUAACUACGUG
rnacentral:rRNA from 1 species